rnacentral:rRNA from 1 species
AUUGAACGCUGGCGGCAUGCUUUACACAUGCAAGUCGGACGGCAGCACGGACUUCGGUCUGGUGGCGAGUGGCGAACGGGUGAGUAAUACAUCGGAACGUGCCCAGUUGUGGGGGAUAACUACUCGAAAGAGUAGCUAAUACCGCAUGAGAACUGAGGUUGAAAGCAGGGGAUCGGAAGACCUUGCGCAACUGGAGCGGCCGAUGGCAGAUUAGGUAGUUGGUGGGAUAAAAGCUUACCAAGCCGACGAUCUGUAGCUGGUCUGAGAGGACGACCAGCCACACUGGGACUGAGACACGGCCCAGACUCCUACGGGAGGCAGCAGUGGGGAAUUGUGGACAAUAGGCGGAAGCCUGAUCCAGCAAUGCCGCGUGCAGGAUGAAGGCCUUCGGGUUGUAAACUGCUUUUGUACGGAACGAAAAGCUUCGGGCUAAUACCCUGGAGUCAUGACGGUACCGUAAGAAUAAGCACCGGCUAACUACGUGCCAGCAGCCGCAGUAAUAC